CCUACGGGUGGCAGCAGUGGGGAAUAUUGGACAAUGGGGGGAACCCUGAUCCAGCGACGCCGCGUGAGUGAAGAAGUAUUUCGGUAUGUAAAGCUCUAUCAGCAGGGAAGAAAGAAAUGACGGUACCUGACUAAGAAGCCCCGGCUAACUACGUGCCAGCAGCCGCGGUAAUACGUAGGGGGCAGGCGUUAUCCGGAUUUACUGGGUGUAAAGGGAGCGUAGACGGCGAUGCAAGUCUGACGUGAAAGGCUGGGGCCCAACCCCCGGACUGCUUUGGAAACUGGAUGGCUGGAGUGCAGGGGAGGUAAGUGGAAUUCCUAGUGUAGCGGUGAAAUGCGUAGAUAUUAGGAGGAACACCAGUGGCGAAGGCGGCUUGCUGGACUGUAACUGACGCUGAGGCUCGAAAGCGUGGGGAGCAAACAGGAUUAGAUACCCCAGUAGUC
rnacentral:rRNA from 1 species